GAUGAACGCUGGCGGCGUGCUUAACACACGCAAGUCGAGCGAGUGAGUUCUUCGGAACGAUCUAGCGGCGGACGGGUGAGUAACACGUGGGCAACCUGCCUCAUAGAGGGGAAUAGCCUCCCGAAAGGGAGAUUAAUACCGCAUAAAAUUAUCGAGUAGCAUCACCUGAUAAUCAAAGGAGUAAUCCGCUAUGAGAUGGGCCCGCGGCGCAUUAGCUAGUUGGGGAGGUAACGGCUCACCAAGGCGACGAUGCGUAGCCGACCUGAGAGGGUGAUCGGCCACAUUGGGACUGAGACACGGCCCAGACUCCUACGGGAGGCAGCAGUGGGGAAUAUUGCACAAUGGGGGAAACCCUGAUGCAGCAACGCCGCGUGAGUGAUGAAGGUCUUCGGAUUGUAAAGCUCUGUCUUUGGGGACGAUAAUGACGGUACCCAAGGAGUAAGCCACGGCUAACUACGUGCCAGCCGCCGCGGUAA
rnacentral:rRNA from 1 species